rnacentral:rRNA from 1 species
AUUGAACGCUGGCGGCAUGCUUUACACAUGCAAGUCGAACGGUAACAGGCCGCAAGGUGCUGACGGGUGGCGAACGGGUGAGUAAUGCAUCGGAACGUGCCCAGUCGUGGGGGAUAACUACUCGAAAGAGUAGCUAAUACCGCAUACGAUCUAUGGAUGAAAGCGGGGGACCGUAAGGCCUCGCGCGAUUGGAGCGGCCGAUGUCAGAUUAGGUAGUUGGUGGGGUAAAGGCUCACCAAGCCAACGAUCUGUAGCUGGUCUGAGAGGACGACCAGCCACGCUGGGACUGAGACACGGCCCAGACUCCUACGGGAGGCAGCAGUGGGGAAUUUUGGACAAUGGGCGCAAGCCUGAUCCAGCAAUGCCGCGUGCAGGAAGAAGGCCUUCGGGUUGUAAACUGCUUUUGUACGGAACGAAACGGCUCUGGUUAAUACCCGGGGCUAAUGACGGUACCGUAAGAAUAAGCACCGGCUAACUACGUG